rnacentral:rRNA from 1 species
AUUGAACGCUGGCGGCAUGCCUUACACAUGCAAGUCGAACGGUAACGGGCCUUCGGGUGCCGACGAGUGGCGAACGGGUGAGUAAUGCAUCGGAACGUACCUUUCGGUGGGGGAUAACGUAGCGAAAGUUACGCUAAUACCGCAUAUUCUGUGAGCAGGAAAGAGGGGGAUCGCAAGACCUCUCGCUUUCGGAGCGUCCGAUGUCGGAUUAGCUAGUUGGUGGGGUAAAGGCCUACCAAGGCGACGAUCCGUAGCGGGUCUGAGAGGAUGAUCCGCCACACUGGGACUGAGACACGACCCAGACUCCUACGGGAGGCAGCAGUGGGGAAUUUUGGACAAUGGGCGCAAGCCUGAUCCAGCCAUGCCGCGUGAGUGAAGAAGGCCUUCGGGUUGUAAAGCUCUUUCGGUGGGGAAGAAAUUGCUUCGGUUAAUACCCGGAGUAGAUGACGGUACCCGCAUAAGAAGCACCGGCUAACUACGUGCCAGCCGCCGCCGUAAAAC